UAGUAAUCCUGCUCAGUACGAGAGGAACGACAGGUUCAGAGCCCUGGUGCAGGCACUUGGCUGAGGAGCCACUGGUGUGAGGCUACCAUCUGUGGGCGCAUGACUGAACGCCUCUAAGUCAGAAUCCUGCUG
rnacentral:ncRNA from 1 species